rnacentral:rRNA from 1 species
GAUGAACGCUGGCGGCGUGCUUAACACAUGCAAGUUGAGCGAUGAAGGCUGGUAUUUGUACUAACUGGAUGACCAGCGGACGGGUGAGUCACGAGUAAGGUAUCUGCAAUUGUGCGAUGGACAACAUAUGGUAACGCUUGCUCAUACCGCAUAAAUCCAUUAAACACAAGUUUUUGGUUUGAAAGAUGCAAUUGCAUUACACUCAGAUGAUCUCGCGUUGUAUUAGCUAGUUGGUGAGGUAAAGGCUCACCAAGGCGAGGAUACAUAGCCGACCGGAGAGGGUGAUCAGCCACACUGAGACUGUGACACGCCCCAAACUCCUACAGGAGGCAGCAGUACUGAUACUGCGGCAAUGGGCGAAAGACUGUCCGAGCUACGCGGCGGGAGUGUGGAGGGUUGUCGGGUCGUAAAACUCUGUUGUUAGGUAGGAACGUUCGUUAGGUAGGAAAGCUCAUCAAGUGACGGUAACUACCCAGAAAGGGACGGCUAACUACGUG